UUUUCCUUUGAAACAAAGUAUUUUUUUGUUCCCGUGCAGUCUUAGAUGUUAUUCUUAUUCCUUUUCUUAUGUCUUCAAAAUUGUUUACAAAAAUGUUGUUUUGUGACGAAGGUGAAGUGAAUGUUCAGCUGCCGCUGCCACGGUCAACACAUUCUUCAAAUUCUUUUUGGUGAACAGUGGCCUGUCCUCCAAGACGGCGGCGGAACACGAACCAAACAGGAAAAAACAACCCGUCAGAACCGAAACAUCUAUGAACCGGCACAGGGCAUCGGAAGGCUUAGAUGGGACGAUUCGGCGUUGGAAACUUCGACAGCUUUGAGGGAAGAAUCGAUAGUGGACGCCUAGGGCAACCAAUUGGAAUGUACUAACUGUUCCGGUGCUUCGGCAAAGCGGUUGCAAUCUUCCGAUCCAGUCCAAGGAGAGUCAAAGUUUGGCGCCGAAGCUAUUAAUCAGUUGUUCGAAUGGAACUGUCCGUCAACGAACAUCUUUUGAUAUUUUAACAAUAUGGCUGAAAGAUCUUAAAGUGUUAUCCUGAGAGGCGAUGGACAAUGAAGUCUAACGAAUGAACAAUGAAGCAUCAUUUUCAAACAGUGAUAUUAGGUAAUUGAAAUGUAAAACAUAUGAACAU